UGAACCAUCAGUCGCCAAUGGCUGACACGCGUUCAGGACAUUGUCCUGGCUUGCAAGAGCGGCUUUCGGCUUCCCCACUUUGGAAUCAGGAAAACUAUUCGCCUUCAUAUAUGAAGGCAAGUGUUCGUUCCUGGGCUUGCCCACUGUCAACUAGACGAUGCCGGCCCAGCAGAUUAUUGAAGAUGCCCAACAUAAUCACUGUGGCAGACUAUGUGUUGAAAUUGGGCCUAAUUUAUCGUUGGGUGAAUUGGUUUGGUGAAUGGAGAAUGGACCAAUGAAUGAAGACCAGCUAUAUUGAGUUUAUUUUUCUUCUAAAUAUUUAACAGUAAAUAUAAAAGAACUUGGAUUGACUGACUUGUGAAAAAUUUUUAGUGCUUUGUCUGCUGUAAAUAAUUAUUUUACUUUGCCUUUUGUUGUGUAGAUCUACGAGGUUAAACGGAAACCCAUGUUGGUAACAGUCCCUUGACGUUCUUUUGUCCGUAAAUCAGCACUUUUACAGUUGAAGAUUACCUAGGGAUGCUAGAGGUAUGUUGCGGAUUGUGAAAAAAGAAAAUUUCGGCACAAGUAUAUAACUUGUGAAGAAGAAAAAAAGUCGUCUUACUGAAGGGAGGUAUCUUGAUGCAAUCAUUCAUCGGGGGGACAGGCCCCCCUUUUGUUUUGUAGAUGUACGAGUUUAACGCAAACCUGUUUUGGUAACAGUGUUUGACGUUCUUUUAUCCGGACAUCAGGAGUUCGACAGUUGUUGAAGAUUUUCUGUAUGUACUAGAGGUGUAUUGAAGAUUGUGAAAAAACAAAAUGUCUGUACACAAGUGUAGACCUAAUGUUUUAAAACUUUUCCAGGAAAGGUUGCUGAAACCAUUCUCUCGUCCCGCCAUUUUGAGGAAAAGAUGGCCGAACUCUUACCAUCAACCAAUAGAAUUUGAGAAGAACAAAAGGCUGUUGGAGUUGCUCAUUUCAGUGGCCAUUUUGUUUGACAAGUUGUCGAUACCUAUAGGGGAAUUCUUAAAGGUUUCCAGAUGUACUGGCAAGAAUCGGUAUCAAAUUAUGAUAGUUGAAUACUCGCACACAGGUUCAACAUGGAAGAAAUGUGCAAGUGUUGAUAUUGCAGUAGACAAAUGGGUGGUGUUAGACAAAUGGAUAUGAAGGUUACACAUAAGCCACAAGGAAAU